rnacentral:misc_RNA from 1 species
UACGAACUGCGCAAACGUUACUCGGAAUCACUGGGCUUAAAGGGUGCGUAGGCGGCCAAGCAAGUCGGGUGUGAAAUCCCUCGGCUCAACCGAGGAACUGCGCCCGAAACUGCAUGGCUUGAGUGCGAUAGGGGUGUGCGGAACUUCCAGUGGAGCGGUGAAAUGUGUUGAUAUUGGAAGGAACGCCGGUGGCGAAAGCGGCACACUGGGUCGCAACUGACGCUGAGGCACGAAAGCCAGGGUAGCGAACGGG